UACGAAGGGGGCUAGCGUUGUUCGGAAUCACUGGGCGUAAAGCGCGCGUAGGCGGCUAUCCAAGUCAGGGGUGAAAUCCCGGGGCUUAACCCCGGAACUGCCUUUGAAACUGGAUAGCUGGAGGCUCGGAGAGGAUGGCGGAAUUCCAAGUGUAGAGGUGAAAUUCGUAGAUACUUGGAGGAACACCGGUGGCGAAGGCGGCCAUCUGGACGAGUACUGACGCUGAGGCGCGAAAGCGUGGGGAUCAAACAGG
rnacentral:rRNA from 1 species